rnacentral:rRNA from 1 species
CCUACGGGCGGCUGCAGUGGGGAAUAUUGCGCAAUGGGCGCAAGCCUGAUGCAGCCAUGCCGCGUGUGUGAAGAAGGCCUUCGGGUUGUAAAGCACUUUCAGCGGGGAGGAAGGCGUUAAGGUUAAUAACCUUGUCGAUUGACGUUACCCGCAGAAGAAGCACCGGCUAACUCCGUGCCAGCAGCCGCGGUGAUACGGAGGGUGCAAGCGUUAAUCGGAAUUACUGGGCGUAAAGCGCACGCAGGCGGUCUGUCAAGUCGGAUGUGAAAUCCCCGGGCUCAACCUGGGAACUGCAUUCGAAACUGGCAGGCUAGAGUCUUGUAGAGGGGGGUAGAAUUCCAGGUGUAGCGGUGAAAUGCGUAGAGAUCUGGAGGAAUACCGGUGGCGAAGGCGGCCCCCUGGACAAAGACUGACGCUCAGGUGCGAAAGCGUGGGGAGCAAACAGGAUUAGAUACCCUUGUAGUC